CGGGGACCUGGGGCUGCUGCUCCCCGAGCCGUGUGGUACCAUCUAGGCUCACUGCAGCCUCCACCUCCUGGGUUCAAGUGAUCCUCCUGCCUCAGCCUCCCGAGUGCUGGAAUUACAGCUUUGCAGAGGCAAGCGUCUAUGAUUUAAAUGCUAGCUUUGCCGCUUACUGGCUGAAAGACUUUAAAUGACAAUAACAAAAAAUGAAGAGGAUGAUGAUGAUGAUACAAGAUACCAUUGCCCGUGUGUACCAGACAUCAUGCUAAG
rnacentral:lncRNA from 1 species